CCCUAUCCCUAAAAUACCCUGAAGGCACCAGAUCCUAUCUCAUCUUUGAAACUAAAUUGGGUCAGCCAUGGUUAGUAUUUGGAUCAGAGACUGCCAAGAAAUACCAGGUGCUGUAGGCU
rnacentral:rRNA from 11 species